rnacentral:misc_RNA from 1 species
UGUUACAGACAAUGAAAUUCAAACCAUGCCAUGGGCAACAAUUCUUGAAAAGGUUGUACAGUUACAAAGUUCACAGCAACUCUGUGUGGUGAAGGACCUUUCUGCUUAUGAUGUCGUGAUGCGAUUGAUGCGAAAGGAGAAUUACUUAAUUGGAAUGCUUAAUAAAGGAGUGCUUGCUUUUCCAAUCUCCUCAUGGGUUCCAGGUGCUGGUCCAAUUGUCAAAUCUGGUUCCAAUGGAACACAGUACCGUUUAAUACUAACAAAGACCCUUGAAUGGACCUUAAAUUGGUGCAUUCUUCAGAGCAUGUUUGAUCGAAACUUUU